AUGAACGCUAGCGGCGGGCUUAAUACAUGCAAGUCGAGGGGUAGCAUGAUUGUAGCAAUACAAUUGAUGACGACCGGCAAACGGGUGCGGAACACGUACACAACCUUCCUACAAGUGGGGAAUAGCCCAGAGAAAUUUGGAUUAAUACCCCGUAACAUAGCGAUGUGGCAUCACAUUGCUAUUAUAGCUUCGGCGCUUGUUGAUGGGUGUGCGGCUGAUUAGAUAGUUGGCGGGGUAACGGCCCACCAAGUCUACGAUCAGUAGCUGAUGUGAGAGCAUGAUCAGCCACACGGGCACUGAGACACGGGCCCGACUCCUACGGGAGGCAGCAGUAAGGAAUAUUGGACAAUGGACGCAAGUCUGAUCCAGCCAUGCCGCGUGAAGGAUUAAGGUCCUCUGGAUUGUAAACUUCUUUUAUAAGGGACGAAAAAAGGUCUUUCUAGAUCGUCUGACGGUACCUUAUGAAUAAGCACCGGCUAACUCCGUG
rnacentral:rRNA from 1 species